rnacentral:rRNA from 1 species
CACGUAGGGUGCGAGCGUUGUCCGGAAUUAUUGGGCGUAAAGAGCGCGUAGGCGGUCCGAUAAGUCGACUGUGAAAGUCUAGGGCUCAACCCUGGAAAGCCGGUCGAUACUGUCGGACUAGAGUCCGGAAGAGGCAAGUGGAAUUCCCGGUGUAGCGGUGAAAUGCGCAGAUAUCGGGAGGAACACCAAUGGCGAAGGCAGCUUGCUGGGACGGUACUGACGCUGAGACGCGAAAGCGUGGGGAGCGAACAGG